CGAAUCCAGGGAGCAGAGUGAGCUCCAACUCUUAGCCCCAGCUUCUGCCAACUUAGCAGUUUGAAAACAUGCAAACGUGAGUAGAUCAAUAGGUACCGCUUUGGCGGGAAGGUAAUGACGCUCCAUGCAGUCAUGCCAGCCACAUGGCCUUGGAGGUGUCUACAGACAACGCCGGCUCUUCAGCUUAGAAAUGGAGAUGAGCACCAACCCCCAGAGUCGGACACAACUGAAUUUAACAUCGGGGGAAACCUUUACCUUUAUUAUGCUAGGAAACCUAGAAAAUGCUAUAUUUUGUUGACAUUGGAUAAGUGAAGCAUUAAAGUAUAGGGAUGGUUUCUUAUUUGGAAAACCGGCUUUAUGCUCCUAAUAUCAGGGAAUGAAUUGCAGGCAAUCUGGAGCUCUUGCAAUGCCCUUGCAAUGUUUUUGAGCUCUUGUUCAGCUCCCAGUGCCUGAGGCUUCAAACUGCCCAGCAAUAGGAAGCUUUUAUACUGGCAAGGGCUGGCACAAAACGAAUGGCUGUCUUGGACAAGAGCUGAAUGCAAAUCCCUUUCAGUCUGGAUAGCUUUGUUGCCGGCCUUUAUGUCUCAACCUGAAUUCCCUGUCACAAAAAUGGUGCUUGGGUGAAAGAACGGCUCUUGUAGUCAUUCAGGAUGUAGAUCGAGCUGCUACUCCACUGAGUGCCUAAAAGCAUGUUUUGAAAUCUGCCAAGAAAUCUGGUUUGGAAAACAGACCAUUGCUAGCAACAUCUAUUCCAGGCCUGGCAUUUCAGACAAGCUCUGCUUUCUCUGAAACCCGUCAAAAAUUCCAAUUCUGGCAACCUCAUCCCCUUGGUCCCCAAUCUGAAAAACAUCUCAAGGCAAUUGAAAUUGAAAUUUGCACAGAUUGAUUUGAUGUGCAUGAUUAAAUCCGGGAAUUGGGUUUACCCCAAAUGCCAUAAAGUAUGUAUUUUUAAUCGAAAAUCCUGGAUAGCAUAUCUUUAAAGAAUAGUAUGAAAGCACUCUUUUGGGGAGUAAAUUUUGGAUGUGGCAUACAAUAGAUAGAUCAAUAGAUUGAUCCAUAGUUUAUUCUUGUGUAUUAAACCCAAGUCUGACUUCUGUAAGGACCCAGCUUUUUUAAAGGCAUCUAUAUAAUACAACAUUUUGCAUUAUUGGGUGUGUUUCUAUAAUUUUAUGGGUGUGUUGUGGUAGAUUAAGUGUUUGUCUAUGAGUUUGGAGAUGAGAGUUUGAAUCCCUGCUCAGCCACUGAUGAUCCAAAGCAAGUCACAUUCCCCUCUCAACAAAUUUUGCCAAGGAAACCCUGCCUUAGCCUCUGUAAGUUGGAAAUGACUUGAAAGCAUACAAAGCUAAUAAAAUAUUCUACAUUUUGUGGUUAGAACAGAGACAGCAGAAUGCCAAUGGCACAAGAGUGCCCCCUUGUGUUUUUCUUCUUGAAAUGCCACUCUACCUCAUUUUUGUUCUUUUCUUUAUUCCUCUAUCAGUAUGAGGCUUUUGUUGUGCUAUUGUCCUUCCUUAUUCCUAUACUUUUCAGAGUCUGGAAGGAUGCGUAUGCAGAACAACCCAGGGAGCAGUUUUACCAGCAAGAAAGAAACCAGCCUCUAAAAAACAAAGACAUACAUUAAAACUUUGCACUUGCUUUUCUUAUUCAGGAAACUACACAAUUAUAGUCCUAUGAUUCCACUUUAGGAGCCAUGAUAACAUAUCAUAGAGUUGGAAGAGACCUCGUGGGCCAUCCAGGCCAACCCCCUGCCAAGAAGCAGGAAAAUCCCAUUCAAUCCAGCCUCUGCUUAAAAGCCCCCAAAGAAGGAGCCUCCACCACAGUCUGGGGCAGAGAGUUCCACUGCUGAACAGCUCUCACAGUUAGAAAGUUUUUCCUAAUGUUCAGGUGGAAUCUCCUUUACUGUAGUUUAAAGCCAUUGUUCUGCGUCCUAGUCCCCAGGGCAGAAGAAAACAAGCUUUCUCUCUCCUCCCUAUGACUUCCCCUCACAUCUUGAUACAUGCCCUCAUCAUGACUCCUCACAGCCUUCUCUUCUGCAGGCUAAACAUGCCCAACUCUUUAAGCCACUCUUCAUAAGGGUCGUUCUCCAGACUCUUGAUCAUUUGAGUCGCCCUCUGGACACAUUCCAGCUUGUCAACAUCUCCCUUCAAUUGCGGUGCCCAGAAUUGGACACAGUAUUCCAGGUGUGGUCUGACCAAGACAUGACUUCCCUGGAUCUAGACACUAUACUCCCUUUUGAUGCAGCCCAAAAUCUCAUUGGCUUUUUUAAGCUGCCAUAUCACAUUAUUGGCUCAUGUUUAACUUGUUCCCCACAAGGACUCCAAGAUCUUUUUCACACGUACUGCUAUUGAGCCAGGCGUCCCCUUUCUGUAUCUUUGUAUAUCAUUUUUUCUGCCCAAGUGGAGUAUCUUUCAUUUGUUCCUAUUGAACUUAAUUUUGUUAGUUUUCUCCAAUCUUCUCUCUAAUCUGUUAAAAUUGUUGUGAAUUCUGCUCCUUUCUUCUGGAGUAUUAGCUAUCCUAGGCAUCCUCAGCUUGAGUCCCCGUUGGGGAGAUGGAGGCGGCAUAUAAAAAUAAAAUUAUUAUUAUUAUUAUUUGAAACACAACAAGAUGAGUCCACAGCAUACACUCUGCUGGCUGUUGUAUUGGAUCACACGUUGGACACUUCCCAAGUGUCUAGGACUGUGAUGUAUCAGGGAAUAAUGCGUGCAGAUCCCAGUAAGGUGGCCUUCUGCAGCUGGCAGGUGGUAAUUUUGUCAGUGCCGAUAGUGUUUAAGUGCAGGCCAAGGUGUUUGGGCACUGCACCCAGUGUGCCGAUCACCACUGGGACCACCUUGACUGGCUUGUGCCAGAGUCUUUGUAAUUCAAUCUUUGAAUACUCAUAUUAUUAUAUAAAAGUAUGACACAGCAAAGAAGAUACUGGAUUUCGUUUCACAACGAAGACUUCCCAAGUGUCUAGGACUGUGUGAUGUAUUUUCGGAUGAUGCGUGCAGAUCCCAGCAGGGUGGCCUUUUGCAGUUGGCAGAUCGUAAUUUUGUCAAUGUCUAUUGUUUCCAAAUGCUGGCUGAGAUCUUUUGGCACGGCACCCAUUGUGCCCAUCACCACCGGGACCACCUGUACUGGUUUCUGCCAGAGUCUUUGAAGUUCAAUCUCGAGGUCCUGAUAGCAGCUGAGUUUUUCCUGUUGUUUUUCGUCAAUGCGACUGUCACCUGGGAUGGCGACAUCAAUGAUCCAAACCUUUUUCUUUCCCACAACUGUGAUGUCUGGUGUGUUGUGUUCCAGAACCUUGUCAGUCUGGAUUUGGAAGUCCCACAGUAUCUAAUAAUUAUUAUCAUCAUCAUCAUCAUCAUCCUGGGAUAUGCAUUUUAAGCAGGGAUGAAGGAAAUUCACUUCCAGAGAGUUCUAGUGCCUCUACAAACUCCAAACUCCAGAAUUCUAUAAUGCCAUGAUGCUUGAGCUAUAACUGUGUAGUGUGAAAUGGGAGAAGUGCGGACAUAGCUUGGAUCUCAGUUGGAAGGGGAUUCUACAGCAUGAGAACCAUUACACAAAAUGCUGCUUUUGGGGCUUCACACAGAUCUCAAGCUGCUUGGAGUGUCUUUGGUGUAAUAUUUCUGUGGGGCUUUGAAAACGAGAUCUUCCAAACCUAAUUGCAUACUCAGUAUUAGAGCAAUGGGAGAGCAAAAAUGUUUGAAAGAGGAAGCCUAAGGCAGCAGGUGCUUGCUGCGUGUUGAUGUUUUGGUGUGCUGGCAUUGAUCUCAACCUUUGAUCCCUACUCACAUCCAACCUUUCAGGAGGAACUCAGGCACAUUACUAAGGGUGUAAUCCAGUUGUUAGUGCCAGUUAAAAUAGGCCCACUAAACCAGUGGCACUCACCUGAAUGUUGACUUCCCAAAUUCUUGCUAAUUCAAUGAGCCUAAUCCAGUUUCAGAGACAAUGUGGCAAGGGUUCAAUUCCCCUUUCAGCCAUGAUGAAUAGGAGUCUACGCAUGGAGAUUUUGAAGCAAGAAUGGACCAGGUGCAUCCAGUCAAGUGUUCAUGGUCUGCAGUUUCUCACAGCCCUAGUCACAAAGCUAAUAGUGAGGGCUGAUGGGAGUUGCAGUCCUGCCAUAGGUUGCCCACUUCUGGGAUAAGCUAUUUUUUUAAAUUUGUUUAGGUAUUUUAAUUACCGUAUAUACUCGAAUAUAAGCCGAGGCACCUAAUUUUACCACAAAAAAACUGGGAAAACAUUAACUCCAGUAUAAGCCAAGAGUGGUAAAUUUCAGAAAUAAAAAUAGAUACCAAUAAAAUUACAUUAAUUGAGGCAUCAGUAGGUUAAAUGUUUUUGAGUAUUUACAUAAAGCUCAAAUUUAAGGUAAGACUGUCCAACUGUGGUUAAAUCAUUAUUCUCAUCUUCUUCAAUGUAAAUGUGCUUAAUGUAUCCUUUUAAUAAUAAUAAAAUACCCUGUUUCCCCUAAAAUAAGACAUCCCCAAAAAAUAAGACCUAGUAGAGGUUUUGCUGAAUUGCUAAAUAUAAGGCCUCCCCUGAAAGUAAGACCUAGCAAAGUUUUUGUUUGGAAGCAUGCCCGGCGCCCACCAAACAAAACACCAUAGCAUGCAGGAUUGGUAAAUGUACAUACCAGUUGUAUAUGGAAAUAAUGGUAGUAACAAGAAAUUCUUGACAGAAGUCACAGUUUGUCUGGUUUGGUUAUGUUGGUUUGUGAUGACAACUACUGUACAGUAUAGAAUAAAUGUUCAUUUUUUGUUCAACAAUAAAUGUGAAUUCUUCUUCAUGGAAAAAUAAGACAUCCCCUGAAAAUAAGACCUAGCACAUCUUUGGGAGUAAAAAAUAAUAUAAGACACUGUCUUAUUUUCGGGAAAACACGGUAAUACAUGUAAUAACAAUAAUAAAUACAGGAAAAUAAUACAUGUAAUAAUAAAUAGAGUAAAAUAAUAAAUGUAAUAAUAAUAAUAAUAAUGUAAAAUAAAUGUAAUAGUAGCAACAAUAAUAGAGAAAAAUAAUAAAUGUAAUAAUACCAAUAAUAAUAGAGAAAAAUAAUAAAUUUACCAUAUAUUUUUGAGUAUAAGCUGACCCAAAUAUAAGCCAACCAGGACCCUCACCCGAGUAUAAGCCGAGGGCGGCUUUUUCAGUCUUAUAAAAAGGGCUGAAAAACUAGGCUUAUACUUGAGUAUAUACAGUACCUUAUUUUUAUCACACCUUUAUCCUUAUGUAGGGACUCAGGGUGGCAAACAAUAAAUAUAAAACAAUAUGACAUUGAAGUUAUUGCAUAGAUUUAUCAUAGAAUAAUAGACUUAGAAGAGACCACAUGGGCCAUGCAGGAAAAAUACAAUCAAAAUACCCCUGACUGAGACCCCAUCUACACUGCCAUAUAAAAUCCAGAUUAUCUGCUUUGAACUGGAUUAUAUGGCAGUGUAGAUUCACAUAAUCCAAUUCAAAACAGAAAACGUGGAUUAUGUGCUUUGCUCAUCUGGACUAUAUGGCAGCAUAGAAGGGGCCUCAGUUCAAAGCAGAUAAUGUGGAUUAUGUGCGUUGUUAAUCUGGAUUAUAUAGCUAGCAGGCAUUGCCUAGUGGCCUAGUGGUUGUGGGAGCUGUCCUUUGCUUUGUAAACGUCUAGUAUCCAGCAGUGCAUUGGAACUUUACUUCCUAGUAAACAUAUGUUUGUCCGUGUAUGCCUUCGAGCCAUUUCUGAAUUAUGGCAACUCUAAGGUGAAGCUAUCACAGUAUUAUCUUGGCAUGUCUUGUUCAAGAGGGUUAAACAUUGAUUUCCUAUGUGACUUGCCCAGUGUCACUCAAUGGAAUUUCAUGGCCAAGCAGGGAUUUGCACCCUCAUCUCAGAGUCUUAGUCCUCCUUUGAAACCACUCCAUAAUGAGAGUGCAUAUAGGGUUGUGUUAAUUAGAAAACUAAAUCUUAAGCUUGUAUCCUGAAAGGUUGGUUUAUGUUAAAUGCAAAUGAGAAAAGGACAGCUUCUAUUCCAGGUAUUUAGACUCCCACUCCUAAAAACUCCAAAACAUCUGGAACACCAAAGUAUGGAGUAGCUUUAUAUGUCAAAAACAGUUACGUUGCAGAAGAAAUGCAAGACUGUAAUCCGGGAAACCAGCUUGAAAGCAUCUGGAUAAGAAUCAAGGGAACCGGGACUCAAAAAGAUCUUGUCGUGGGUGUCUACUACAGACCUCCGAGUCAGGAUGAAGGACUUGAUGAAGCCUUCUGUCAACAGCUGACCAAACAGGCACAAAGAAGAGAUAUAGUAGUCAUGGGCGAUUUUAAUUAUCCCGAUAUGUGCUGGAAAACAAACUCAGCCAAGAGUACAAAGUCCAACAAAUUCCUCACUUGCCUUGCAGAUAAUUUUAUGGUCCAGAAGGUAGAAGAGGCAACAAGGGGAUCAGCAACUCUUGAUCUAAUCUUAACAAAUGUGGAAGACCUGAUCAAUACAGUUGAAGUGGUUGGAUCCUUAGGGGCAAGUGACCAUGUGCUCCUGCAGUUUGCAAUACAAAGGAAUGCUGAAACUAAGAUAAGUCAAACACGCAUUCUGGACUUUAAGAGAGCUGACUUCCAAAAAAUGAAGGAAUUACUGAGCGGCAUUCCAUGGACGCCGAUAUUAAAAAACAAGGGAGUUAAGGAUGGAUGGGAGUUUUUCAAAAGUGAAAUACUCAAGGCGCAAAUGCAAACAGUGCCAACAAAGAAGAAAAAUAAGACAAGUGCAAAGAAGCCAGAAUGGAUGUCCAAAGAACUUCUAACUGAGCUAAAGCUCAAAAGUGACAUGCACAAGAAGUGGAAAAGGGGAGAAAUCACCAAAGAAGAAUUCAAACGUAUAGCCAACACCUGUAGGGAAAAGGUUCGCAAGGCUAAAGCGCAAAAUGAGCUCAGGCUUGCCAGGGACAUAAAAAACAACAAAAAAGGCUUUUUUGCUUACGUUGGUAGAAAAAGGAAGAAAAAGGAGGCGAUAGGGCCAUUGCAAGGAGAAGAUGGGGUGAUGGCGACAGGGGACAGGGAAAAGGCAGAACUACUUAAUGCCUUCUUUGCCUCGGUCUUCUCAGAAAAAGAAAGCCAUCUUCAACCUCAGCAACACGGAAUGGAUGAAGGAUUGGGGGAAAUCCAACCCCAAAUAGGGAAACAAGUUGUCCAGGAACACUUGGCCUCUCUAAACGAAUUCAAGUCCCCAGGGCCAGAUCAGCUACAUCCAAGAGUACUGAAGGAACUAGCGGAAGUUAUUUCAGAACCACUGGCAAUUAUCUUCGAGAGUUCUUGGAGAACGGGAGAAGUCCCAGCAGAUUGGAGGAGGGCGAAUGUGGUCCCUAUCUUCAAGAAGGGAAAAAAGAACGACCCAAACAAUUACCGUCCGGUCAGCCUCACAUCGAUACCAGGCAAGAUUCUGGAAAAGAUCAUUAAGGAAGUGGUCUGCGAACACUUAGAAACAAAUGCGGUCAUUGCUAAUAGUCAACACGGAUUUACCAAAAACAAGUCAUGCCAGACUAAUCUGAUCUCUUUUUUCGAUAGAGUUACGAGUUGGGUCGAUACAGGGAAUGCUGUGGUUGUAGCGUAUCUGGAUUUCAGUAAGGCCUUCGACAAAGUCCCCCACGACCUUCUGGCAAACAAACUAGUAAAAUGUGGGCUAGACAAAACUACGGUUAGGUGGAUCUGUAAUUGGCUAAGCAAACGAACCCAAAGGAUGCUCACCAAUGCGUCGUCUUCAUCAUGGAAAGAAGUGACAAGUGGAGUGCCGCAGGGCUCCGUCCUGGGCCCGGUUCUGUUCAACAUCUUUAUUAACGACUUAGACGAAGGGUUAGAAGGCACGAUCAUCAAGUUUGCAGACGACACAAAACUGGGAGGGAUAGCUAACACUCCAGAAGACAGGAGCAGAAUUCAAAACGAUCUUGACAGACUAGAGAGAUGGGCCAAAACUAACAAAAUGAAGUUCAACAGGGACAAAUGCAAGAUACUUCACUUCGGCAGAAAAAAUGGAAAUCAAAGAUACAGAAUGGGGGACGCCUGGCUUGACAGCAGUGUGUGCGAAAAAGACCUUGGAGUCCUUGUGGACAACAAGUUAAACAUGAGCCAACGAUGUGAUGCGGCUGCUAAAAAAGCCAAUGGGAUUCUGGCCUGCAUCAAUAGGGGAAUAGCGUCUAGAUCCAGGGAAGUCAUGCUCCCCCUCUAUUCUGCCUUGGUCAGACCACACCUGGAAUACUGCGUCCAAUUUUGGGCACCACAGUUGAAGGGAGAUGUUGACAAGCUGGAAAGCGUCCAGAGGAGGGCGACUAAAAUGAUUAAGGGUCUGGAGAACAAGCCCUAUGAGGAGCGGCUUAAAGAGCUGGGCAUGUUUAGCCUGCAGAAGAGAAGGCUGAGAGGAGACAUGAUAGCCAUGUACAAAUAUGUGAAGGGAAGUCAUAGGGAAGAGGGAGCAAGCUUGUUUUCUGCUGCCCUGCAGACUAGGACACGGAACAAUGGCUUCAAACUACAGGAAAGGAGAUUCCACCUGAACAUCAGGAAGAACUUCCUCACUGUGAGGGCUGUUCGACAGUGGAACUCUCUCCCCCAGACUGUGGUGGAGGCUUCUUCUUUGGAGGCUUUUAAGCAGAGGCUGGAUGGCCAUCUGUCGGGGGUGCUUUGAAUGCGAUUUCCUGCUUCUUAGCAGGGGGUUGGACUGGAUGGCCCAUGUGGUCUCUUCCAACUCUACUAUUCUAUGAUUCUAUGGGAAUUAUCGUUCUAGACCACAGUCAAAUUGCUAAUAGGCACCCCCAGUUUCCAUCCUAGUGUUGGAAGAGUGCUACUGAGAAUAAUGGCUGUAACCAUGAGAUGUUUAUAGACUUGAGUUGAGACAAAAGAAGCCCUCUCGUUCAACACAUAAAACUCAAUCAAACCUUGGGCUUAGUAAGUGGCUUCAAACACCAGUUGAAAAAGGCCAGUUCCAUGGAGCUCCCUCUUCCUCGCUGAGGCAUUUAGUCUCUUGUGUACCCAAUAAGUAUUUAUUUAUCAUGCCAGAAGCUAAUUGAGAAUUGCUUCUGGUGUGAGAGAAUCAGCCGUCUACAAAGACGUUGCCCAGAGGAUGCCCAGAUGUGUUACUAUCCUGUGGGGAGGCUUCUUCCAUGUCCCCUACCCAAUGAGUAGACACCCCCUUAUGAGUUUGUUGCAUUUUGUACCUCCACAGUAUGCAUUUCAAGCAACUCACUAUGUUUAUUCCUCUUUUCUUUCAUUUCUCCCACCAUCUCCAGAGUUUUUCUUCCCUACGGUGCCGGUAUCUCCAGCUCUUCUCAUAACCUGUCCAUGGUCAGAACGCAUUAUAAGCCAGACCACCUGACCCCUGUUGUGUGGUUUUGCCAGUUGCCAUAAACCCGUAGAUCCGAACUUGCGGUACAACUGAUUCACACAAGCUCGAGUCUGUGGGUAUGUGUCGACCUCGGCCAAGGCGUCUGGACCCACUGCUGCAACAGACCUUCUUUCCGGAUUUGGGGUUUAGGCAGUCUUCCCCUUAAAAGAGUACGACAGCUGUUGUUUCCAAGGGAAGGAAUUAGUCUUUUCACCUCCAGCUCCUCAUUCUUCUCAAGAAGUCCUUCAGUAGCCAAUGUAGAGUAUUGUAGUCAAUACACAUUUGUAGAGAACUUCCACUUAUAUAUUUUAAAAAUUACAGCAUGAUUCUAGUCCUUGUACCUGUAUAAUUCAGCUUGAAAUACAAAACUUGCUGAAAUUUCUGAAGCCAUUCCAAUUCUUUGGGGCAGGCCAUUCAUGUCCUAUUUAGUUUCAAGUUCUGAACUAACAACUGAAAAGUAACAGCAAUUACAUUCUAUAGCAGCAGUAACAAAAUAAUAUGAUGAAAUACAGAAGCUGUGUGUUCUUACAAUCUUGGUUGGAAUUGAGCAAGUUACAAAAUUGGGUGGCAGACUUCUCCUCAGCACUAGUAGGCAUAAUAGUCCUGCCAGGACCCUUCCACUCAGCCAUAUAAUCCAGAAAAUCCCACUGCUUUGAAAUCGAUUAUCUGAGUCCACACUGCCAUAUAUUCCACUUCAAAGCAGAAAACGUGGGAUUUUAUUCAGCUGUGUGGAAGGGGUCAUAGUCAUCCUCAAGUCUUCCCCCAACAAUUGGUAGGAUUGAGCAUUCACUGGGGCUUAUCUGCAUGCAUGCAUGAGCUACGAUCAUUUUGUCAAGUUGUCAAGCCAUUCUUCUAAAACAGUGGUUCCCAACCUGUGGUCCGUGGACCACCAGUGGUCUGCAAGAACUAAAACAUGGUCCACGGCCUCACCUUUACUACUACGGAUAAUAACACAGCCCAACCAACCUAAAAAAAGUUUUUCUUUGUGUCUUUGUUUUUAAGUCUGGGGUUAUUUAGGAUGCUGGCUCAGAAACUGCAUUGGAUAGACCACAUCAGCUCUGGAUUUUUAAAAUAUGGUUUUCUGUGGGCAAGCAGAUGGCAACAACUGGAUGGCAUAUGUUCUGAGCUAAUGUGGUCUAUCCAAUGCAAUUUUCUGAACCCCAAACAACCAAACCAAAUCUAAAGUUGACCAAAAAAUUGAUUCAUAACCCUUUUGGUACUAAUAUUGGAGAGUGGUUCCUGGUCAAAAUGGUCCCUGGUAAAAAAAAAAAAAAGUUGGGAACCACUGUUAUAAGCCAGAGAAUUUGCAAAUGUUACCUGGGAAUAGCAGCCUUUGGCCUGGAAGCCUUUAUCUCUGAUUUUUGAGGCCAGAUAUUAUGAUAAGGGGAAGCAUUUUGGACUCUGUUCAGUCUGCAAAAAUAGGACUAGGAGGGAUCCCUCUUGUUCAAAGGCCCAUGAAAACGUGAAGCCAGGACUUUCUUCUCUUGCCCAUAGCGUAGAAGAAGGCUGACCCCUCAGAGAGGAAAUGUCCUUCCUUGUCUUUCUUUAGACAGCAGAUUAGAGGGAGCAAACAUGCCUGUCUCUUACAGCUGAAUUGCCUCUUGCAGAUGAAAAUCAGUCUUCCGUGGAACCGGUGUCUUCCUGCUUGGACCUUGUUACAUUUCCAGAUGAAAUUUCCUCUUCUUCCUCCUCCUCCUCCUCCUUCUCCAGAUCUCCGGCGUGCCUCGAGUUGAGGUAGUAGGUUGUAUGGUUUAGAAUAACACCAUCAGGAGAUAACUGUACAGCCUCCUAGCUUUCCCCGGGGCAACGCCACAGUAUGAGAGAGAGAGAGACAAGAGAGAGACAAGUUGGUCCGCUUGGCUGUGAGGUGCCAGCCGCCAGAAGGGUGAGUAGCAAUGAAAUUUCCUACUGCUAGAAAACAGCUUGGCUUAACCUCAGAAAUUCCCCUCAUGUGAUAAUGCACCAGAAGGCAAGCCCAUGUAUGGGGCUGUUUGUAUGUUAUCAGUUCGGUGUGAGCAUGAAAGAGAGGGGGGCCGAGGCAUUGGCUACAGAUUUCAGCUGUUUGCCAUUCCCUUUAUUUUGCUCGAAAGUGUAGGCAAUGCCUCAGGCUGGAGAGAGACAGUAAUGUAAAAUGACAUUAAAAUCACUCAAGAAAGGCUUCACUUCCCAUAGUGUGCACACAUUUGUUUAGGAUUGUCUCUUAAAUGUGGGUGAAACUUCAGGAGAGAGUGCUUCUGGAACAAGGCUAUAUCACCUUUGCCCAUUUAAUGUUGGUGUUGAAGAACAUGGUUUCACUGAGCAGAAAAUUACAUAGCAAUUUGAAGUCCUGAUGGUCAUCACACAACACACAGAGCACUGAUAUGCCAUAAAGGUUUUCUUUCAUGUGCUGUUGUGAGAGUUUGUGGUCUGGCUGCCUCAGUUUAAGCUAGCUUAGAACUGCAUUAAAUGCUCAGUGCAGAUGGUGCCCAAGAUGCCAAAAACCCUGCGUUGUGCAAUGUAGGCAUUUAAUUAAGGUCAAAAUAUGUGGAUCAUGUAAUAUUUUAUUGUGGACAAUUUGUACAUAGUACAAAGAAGGCGCACAGCCAGGUGAAUUAAAUCUGCACUUUUUCUUAUUUGGUAUUCAGGAAGAGCAUGAACUUGUUAAUAUUACUUCCUGAUUGUCAACUUUGCAUGUUCUGAAUUUUAUUACUGUUUCGAGAAAUUGUCAGCACUACUUUGGUCCUGCUUUCCCCUUUCAGUACACAGUUACUGCGGAUUUGCUGUGGGUUAUCCAGGCUGUAUGGUCAUGUUCCAGAAGCAUUUUCUCCUGAUGUUUCGCCCACAUUUAUGGCAGGCAUCCUCAGAGGUUAUCAGGCAUAUUGGAAACUAGGCAAAUAGGAUGUAUAUAUCUGUGGAAGGUCCAGGGUAGGAGAAAGAACUCUUGUCUGUUGGAGGCAAGUGUGAAUGUUGCAAUAAAUCACCUUGAUUAGCAUUGAAAAGCUAAUUGUAGCUUCAAAGCAUGGCUGCUUCCUGCCUAAGGGAAACCUUUGUUGGGAGGUGUUAGCUGGGUGUAAUUGUUUCAUGUCUGGAAUUCCCCUGUUUUCAGAGUGUUGUUCUUUAUUUACCAUCCUGAGUUUAGAGUAUUUUAAUACUGGUAGCCAGAUUUUGUUCAUUUUCAUAGACAUUUGGGGGAAUUCCCAACAAAGGAUUCCCCCAGGCAGGAAUCAGCCAGCUCUUGAAGCUGCAAGGAUUUUCAAUGCUAAUCAAGUUGAUUAAUUGCAACAGUCACACUUGCCUCCAACAGACAGGAGUUCUUUCUCUCACCUUAGACCUUCACAGAUAUAUAAACCUCCCUUGCUUAGUUUCCAAUAUACUUCACAACCUUUCUGUUGAAAUCGCCCACAGAUGUGGGAAAAACAUCAGUAGAGAAUGCUUCUGGAACAAUGCCAUAUAGUCCGGAAAACUCACAGCAACCCAGUGAUUCCGGCCAUGAAAGCCUUUGACAACACAAGUUAUUGUACGGUUUUGGGAUGAUACUAGGUGAAAAAAUAUCCUGCAAAUCUGUUUGAUUAGAGGAGAAAACAUAAUGAUUGUAUACGCCACUCCUGGCAAUCCUGCUUUCAAACACUGUUCUAUUUUCCGUGAAGGAAACUCCCACACUUUUCAUCUUCUCAAGUAUCAGAAGCCAGAGCCUAAAUCAGAAUUUCAGUAGCCAAAAAAUCCACCGGUAGAAGAUGUGAUUCUGUUUUUUGAUGGAAAAUUGUAGCUCUGCAAAAUAAAUUAUGUAAAAACAGUGUGCAAACUUGUGUAAAGUUUGCAGAAUUCAACUUUAAAACGUUGUAGAGAUAGAUAAUAUAAGCUACGUAUAGUCCUAGACAGAUUUUCCUGGAUUGUCUUCUGAUUUCCUCCCUCCUCUCAAUUGUAUCUCCCCCCCCCCUCCUCUUUCAUCUUCACACACAUGUAAUUUGGUGUUAGCAACAGUUUUAAAACCUGUGUAUUAUGCAUGAUAUGUAAAAUCCAGGAAUUGGUUGCUGCUGGAUACACUUGUCCUAGGUAACUGACCUAGAAAAAAAAAAGAUGAAAAUCACAGAAAAUCAUGGCAAAGACGUGAAUAAAGGAUCAUAUUGGGUGAAAUUACUAUGGGCACAAGAAAAAAACAGAGGAAAGCGUCAAGGUCCCAGAGAAAUUAUUACAUUUUUUAUUUUGACCACCCUUCAAAGAACUUACGAUGAGUUAGAAUCAGAAUAAUAGAAUCAUUAGUUGGAAGAGACCUCAUGGGCCAUCCAGUCCAAUCUCCUGCUAAGAAGCAGGAAAAUUGCAUUCAAAGCAUCCCUGACAGAUGGCCAUCCAGCCUCUGCUUAAAAGCCUCCAAUGGAGAGGUCUCCACUACACUCCGGGGCAGAGAGUUCCACUGCUGAACAGCUCUCAGAGUGAGGAAGUUCUUCCUAAUAUUCAGGCUGUCCCCUCAUGCCCCAUUCUAUUUUAUCAUUGCAGCGAAGUAGCUUAAGAUGUGAAUUGGCAAGUGGUCCUAGGUUAUUCUCUUAGUGUCAUGACAAAACAAGAAUUUGAACACUCUUUGUAAUUGACCCAACCUGGGACUCUCCUGAUGUACUCCAGCAAUGCCAUUCCAGUAAAGAGAUGGAAGGCGUUCCAGAAACCAUUGAGUCCAAUCUCCUCUUUGGCUGCUUCAUGCAAAGACUUCAGUUAAAGCAACUCCAACUGGAAGCGUCCCCAUCCCCUUUAGAUAUUUAGAUAUUUAACGCUUUAGAUAUUUAAGAGUGCAGACAUGUCCGGCUCCUUCGACAUUUCAUGAUGGGUAUGAGAAAAAUUUUGUUCUCCAUACCAAUCUUGGCCCUUAAGACUAGACAUGGUUGUCCUCCAUGCCCAUCUUGGCUAUUUAGAGUAGUUCAGUUCCUCUGAAGUUCUAGUUAAAUUCCUUUGGGGAGUGUCUGGUUCAGGAAAGCCUUCCCAAAUAGUCCACAUCCUAUGCGGGGUGCUCAAAAGCUUUUUGGUGCAAGAGAUAUGCUUCAAACAGAAUCCUCAAGUGAAGAUGCUCCUCAAGUGAAGUAGAGGGUUUGCCAUGGGGUAUUGUGAAGAUCUGUUAAUGUAUUUACUUGUUGCAUCUAUUCCAUGAAAAAGAAGGCAGUUUCACAUAUCAGUGGUGCUUGUUGAUCAUGUUGUUCUGUGCAUAGGAAUCCCAAAUAUGCCAUUCUCUUAAUGAACUUUUAACAGCUUGUUGUCUCCACACAAUUUGGGACAUGGGAAUGCCAUUGUUCACAAGAGCUGGAUUUUGGUUGUGUUUUCUUUAGAGUGAAAGAAUUGAGAAAUUUGGAUCCAUGGUAGGGACUCUGAGUAUGGAAUUUGAUUAUAUGUGGGCUUAUUUCAGGUGAAUUAUUCUGGAAUAAAAGACUGGAAUCCUCGGAAGUGAUAUUUCCAUCUCUGUUCAUGGUGCCUGCCAAGAUGAUGUGUGUUUGCACAAUUGUGAGCAUGCAGAGGUGCUGGAAUAUGUGGACUGAGCUGGGCUUUGUAACCUUUACAAACGGUGCACAUGGUACGGAGAGGCUCUUUGUCUCUCUGUGUGAAUCGUCCUUGUUUGUGUUGUGAGCGGCCGUCUGGUGUGGUGAGGAGGCUACAUUAUGGGAUGUAGUCUUUGUUAACAAUGCAAAGCUCUUCUGAAGGGAAAAUGUGCUUGGCUUAGGUAGCACUGAUUUUUGGGGGAUGAGGCAUAGAGAUGACUUUUUUGGGAAGCUCUCUGAAUGAGAAGGGCCAGGUGGCUUUGUUUAGGUAUGGCUCACCUGGUCACUCCAAAACUGAGCAUAUCCCCAAAUUUAUUUUCGAGUGUUACCUUUUGUGUUGCUUUGUGUGUUGUAUAACAAAGUCUGUAUUUCAGACAAACCAUAUAGGAACAUAGGAAAGAGGGCUUUGCUGAACCAGACUAAGGUUCAGUUAAGUUCAACCUUCAGGUGCUUCUGGAAGGUGAGAAUCCAGACAGAAAGAGAUUGGUUGGUGUUCCCUAUUUGUUCUUACUAGUUGGUACUUUGAGAUAUACUGGCCCUGAAAAUGGAAGUUCUAUUCAACUAGUUCAGCUAGUUUGGACCGACAAUUCACUCAUCUGUGGAUUUGUCUCAACCUUUUUUCAAGCCACUCCUGAUAACAUCCCAUCUCCCACGAUUUUUCUGUCCCGGACAAUGGGGCAAAAGUACUAUGCUAUGUAUUUGCAGUCCCUUCAUGUUGCAUGUGAUAUUGCACAUGGAACGCUGUUGUGCUCUCUCAGGAUGUGAUCAUGUAUGAUGGUUGUGUGCUGUUGACCUGUGGUGGACCAUGCAGCAUUAUAUGUCUGGCUGUGAUCCCAUGUAGAUUGGCGUGGCAUGACGGUGUGUGCCAGGACCCUUUUUAUCUGUAUUAUCCGUGUGGCGUUUGGCACCCAAUGUUGCGCAGCAUUGUCCUGGGUUUGUCAUGCUGCAUGCCCUUGCCGGCUGGCCGCGAAGACUGUGGGCAAAGCCACACCUGCCUAACUCACCUGCUGCUCAUUGUCUCGGUUUGCUGCCAUUUGAAUUUUUCCCAGCCAGCUCCCUCCCUCCUCUCCUCCGCCGCUCCCUCUUCUCCCCUCCUUCUCUCUCUCUCUCCGCCCUCCCUGCCGUCUGGAUCCAGGCAAGUCUGAUAAAGUUCCAUUCCAGACAACAGCCGCAUUGCGUUGCUACAGCAUAGACAGCGGCCCAGGGAGAGAGAGAGAGAGAGGGAGAGGGAGAGAGAAAUGUACAGCCAGAGCAAAGCGCUGAUGGGGAGAUGGGGGAGAGCAAGCAAGAGAGCAUCCAUCCCUGAGCCAGAGCCAAUGCCUAGGAUGGAGGACAGCAGCCGAGGAGCCUGGAUGGCAAACGAAGACCAGAACAGGUUACCCUUUCCUGUGCCUGUGGGAGCUCUCAAACCCCAGAGCGAUUGGGAUGGAGGGUGGGAAUGGGCAGGGGAAUUGGGAGGACCAGGAUGGAGACCGAGGGAAGGUAUGGGGUGGGUGGGGGGAGUGGAAAGAAACAGGUGAUGGAGACCAAGGGGAGGGGAAAGGGCUGGCAGAUCAGCACGAAGGAGAGAGAAGGAAGUGGCGGCUUAGCAGCCUUGGGGAGGGUGGGGUAGAGAUGGAGGUGGCAAGCAAGGAAUGGGAUAUUAUGGACCUCCAGGUGCAGGAAGUCUUAAGCACAGAUCCUGUUGCCUAGUUCUUAUAAAGGUGAGAGCUGUCGCAAAUCUGAGCCUUUGGGGGUCAUGGAAGUAGGACAAUGACCAAGCAUGGCACGUUUGAUGGAGCAGGGGAAAUAUAUCUGGAUUGAAGAUGGCCAUCUUCACCUCUUUCUCAUCAGAGAGGUGAUAAGGGGAUAGCUGUGACAUGCUGCCUCUCCCCAUCCUAUUCCUGGGAGCAAGGGCAUAGAGAGGAGCCCUCUUUCAAUAGGGUUCAACAGUUGCCACUUGGAGCAGCUCCACCUAGGAUUUGGGUUUCUUUCUGAAGGACCUGCUCCAAGGAUUUUAAGCCAGGGCUUUCUCCAUCACCUACUUCCUCACGUAACCAUGGAUUCUCAAGCCCAUUUCUCAGGACUCCUUGCCUUUCUCCCAAAAGGAGACCAACAUCCCCCUUUUGUGCAAUCAUCAAAAGGAUUUUGCACCCACAAAGAUGCAACCCACCCCGGGGACCACACCCACCCCAGGGAUUCCCAUCCCCACACGCUCUUCAGGCACAAAGCUUGGCCGUUUUCUUCCCCUUUAAAAUAUGCAGAUAGACACACAAAACAUUGUGGGAAGAUUCCUCCAGGAUUGGACAAGGAUGGAGAGUCCUGUGUGGGAGGGAACUGUGUAUCUGCUGGAAACCGAAAGACUGGGGAGAUGGUUCCUUCAGCAUUUGUGAUGGAUUGUGUGCAAGAUGAUGUUUGAUGUGGCAACUUGUAAGCCGUGCAAUAUAUUUAUAUGGUAAGUUAUGUAUGUAAAGGGGGUGGGUGUAUCAUGCCACAUGUGUGUGCCAUAGACCUAUCCAUUGUUGCACCCGUAGACAGUGUGUGGAGAAGAUGCUUUGGAAGAGGAGCACUGUUGGGUAGAGGGGCGUGCGCAUGGAGAGGGUAUUGUUUGUGAAGAGGGUGGUGUGGUGCGUAGGUAGUGGAGAGUGGCUUUUGUUUGGUGUAAGUGCCAAGGUGAAGGCGUGAAAGGGAUAACUGAAGAGCAAAACAGGCAGCACUUGUGCAUGUUAUGUAGCAAAACCAGGGCUGUUGGGGGAGGAAGUGGAAGGGGGUGUUGCUGUUUGUGUGCCUAUGCUGUGAUUGUGCACAUUUGUAACUGUUCCCUUGGACAGAAUACCCGUCUAAGCAACUGUGCGGUCUGGACAAUUUUACUAUUCCUGGAUAUUUGUGUGUAUCAGUAGCAUGUUUGAGAGGUGUUUGCAUCCAACAUAACCUGACAUUGAUGAAAGUUGUGCGUGCAAGAAACAGGAGCAAAUUAUGUGUUGUAUGGGAAAAGAUAAAUAUAUAGAUGGAGGCCCUAGUGUUAACUGAAAAUGGUUGCAAGCAUGAUGACAAUAGGGGUGUGUGCAUGUCUGUGUGUGUUACAUGUCCUUUGUAGUCUGCUAGGUUGUUAGGUGUCCUUUUUGGGAACUCACAUAUAUAUAGUUGCAUGUAUCAUGUGUGUGAUAUUCCGGAACUAUUCUUUGUGCAGUUUUCAGUUCAGCUCAUCAAUGUGUCCCUCGAGUGACAAUGAGAAGAGAUGCCUCCUUUCAGCCAGGCAAAGAAACUGUGGCAGAGGAAGGAAGACCAUCCUGCACCAAAGGUAAGGUGAAUUCAAGAAAGUUAAAACUCAGCCAAAGAGCAUCAAAGCCGAGAAACCAAAACGGAAGAAAGAAUUCUGGGGUUGUAUUGGAAAGCUUGAGGAGACUACUGCUACUACCGGUAGUAAAUAGCAAAUGACAAAUCACCCUUUGUGUUUCUGCUCAGCAAGCACUGCCUUUUGCAUCAUGGUUCCUUCAUAGGAUGAGCUCAUCUUUGGAGGCAGAGAUCUUAGCAGUUGCAAAGGGCGAUGGAUGUAAGGUGGCUGGUUGGAAAGAAGGUAGUUGCCCUGAUUUAAGCGGCAUUUUGGGAAUGGAUUGUUGUGCGCAUUUUUGGACAGGCGGUAUUUUCGCAAGGAUUAAGAAAGUGUUGGAUUAGCUGAUAUUACAGAGAGGAUGGUUUCUACAUCCAGGGUGAAAAUAGGGAGGCUUAACCAUGAAACACAAAGAGAUACCAAGCUUUAAGAUCCCUUGGACCUUGCAUUCUCUAACUCAUAAUUAUUUUCUCUCCCUAAUCUCAAGUAUUUAGGUUUGGUUUUUGACAUUUAGUAAUCUCAAAUGGAAGCACUCUGAAUAUCUUCAAGAGCCUCCAUUUACAUUCUAUUUCACAGCUACAUGCAGAUGUCACAAUAAGUAAUAAAGAACCAACUUUAGGAGGAAUAGGGCUGUCAAAUAUCUCAACAGAUCUCUCAAUAGAGGGAUCUGCAUUAAAGUGGUAGAUCCCUCUAUUGAGGGAUUAUGAUCUAGAAUUAGAUCAAGGUUAGGUUGAAAAGCAAGAGUGUGUUUUUGUGUUGUCAAAGGCUUUCAUGGCCGGAAUCACUGGGUUGCUGUGAGUUUUCCGGGCUGUAUGGCUAUGUUCUUCCUAAAAAGUAUAAUAUAACCAAAAACACACUGGGUUGCUGUGUGUUUUCUGGGAUGUAUGGCCAUGUUCCAGAAGCAUUCUCUCCUGACGUUUCACCCACAUCUAUGGCAGGCAUGUGGACAAUUUCAACAGAAAGGAGGAAACCCUGAAAAUGAACAAAACCUGGCUACUGUACUCUAAAAUCUGUACAGUAAAUAAAGAACAACACUCUGAAAACAGGGGAACUCCAGACAGGAAACAACCAAGGCCAGUUAACACCUUCCAACAAAGGAUUCCCCCAGACAGGAAUUAGCCAGGCCUUAAAGCUGCAAAUCUUUGCAAUGCUAAUCAAGGUGAUUAAUUGCACAUUUGCCUCCAACAGACAAGAAUUCUUUCUCCCACCCUGGACCUUCCACAGAUAUAUAAACCGCCCUUGUCUAGUUUCCAAUAUACCUCACAACCUCAGAGGAUGCCUUCCAUAGAUGUGGGCGAAACGUCAGGAGAGAAUGCUUCUGGAACAUGGCCAUACAGCUCAGAAAACUCACAGCAACCCAGCGUGGUUUUGGUUAUGUUAUACUUUUUAGAAAGAACUAACAGAAAGAUGGAGAAAUGUCUCCGCUGAACCUUAGGUUUCAUGUUUCAGAGCUCCGCUUUUGCAAAAGAAGGAAGGCUUUAUUAAGUAUAAUUAGUAUAUGAUAUUAAGGGUCCUUGGGGAAAUGGGGGUGAAAUCUGAAAAGCAUGCUUGCAUCUCCAAAACGUUUUUUGAUUGCAACUUUCAGGCUCCCUUGACAGCAUGGCACACUUGGAAUUGUAAUCCAAAACGUAAAUGUUUCAAAGCUCACCUCUAAAGAAAGUUUCAAGCUAGACAUUUAGUAGCUGUUUUUAUUUAUCCCUGCCUUGUUAAUCUUCUACUUUCUUGUCUCUUAUGCCAUCUUUGUUAGGUUUUUUCCAGGUUGGAGGAAUCAUUGUUUUUUUUCUGUAUCCCUCCCUUUCUACCCAGACUUUAUUGUCCUGUUUCCACUUUCAUGCUUCUUGUUUCCUUACUUUCGGGCAUCUUCUCUGUCCCUGAGACCCUUAACCUGUGAGGAAGCCCAGAGGUCACAGGUGAGGUUCUUGGGAACUGAGCGGAGAGCCACCCCACGGACCCCACGGAGCAACCGAAUCACAAACACACCUAUUUAGUACCCUACAUUGCAUUUUAUAUGUUUCUUGUUCAGCCAUGAUCUUGCGGAGUAAAGGAAAGAGAGAGGCCAUAUCUAAAACUUGAGUACCAACUCAACAGAGUGUCUCCUCUUGUACCGUAUCUAGCUGCAUCUUUUGAAUUUCUAUCAAAAUAAGUGAGCCCCAUUUCAGUUCUGCUUGCUCUUUAUUCUAAUAUUUCAUUAAUAUUCAAAUAACAUUUGGGGAGUAGAAGAGAACUAGAAGGAAAUAGGCACACAUUCUAUCUCUGUUUCGAACUAUUUGCCUUUGCAAAGAGCCUUGGGAAACAGGGUUCUUUGAAAACACUAAGGACUCCUUUUCCAAAGAUCCCUAGAUAUUUCCUUCUCCCUCGAAGCUAAAUUUUGGAAUCCCUCAAGGGAAAGAUUCCAUAUUUGUACUAGUGUGGCAAUGGGAGUCAUAAUGUGAGGAUCCCCAUUGCCACAAACCCAAGGGAAUCCAAAAAUGCAGGCAUGUGGAUGGAUCUGCUUUGAAUCAUAGAAUAGUAGAGUUGGAAGAGACCUUAUGGGCCAUCCAGUCCAACCCCCUGCCAAGAAGCAGGAAAUCACAUUCAAAGCACCCCCGACAGAUGGCCAUCCAGCCUUUGCUUAAAAGCCUCCAAAGAAGGAGCCUCCACCACAGCCCGGGGGAGAGAGUUCCACUGUCUAACAGCCCUCACAGUGAGGAAGUUCUUCCCGAUGUUCAGGUGGAAUCUCCUUUCCUGUAGUUUGAAGCCAUUGUUCCGCGUCCUAGUCUCCAGGGCAGCAGAAAACAAGCUGGCUCCCUCCUCCCUAUGACUUUCCCUCACAUAUUUAUACAUGGUUAUCAUGUCUCCUCUCAGCCUUCUCUUCUGCAGGCUAAACAUGCCCAGUUCUUUAAGCCGCUUCUCAUAGGGUUUGUUCUCCAGACCCUUGAUCAUUUUAGUUGCCCUCCUCCUUGAGUUUCUGUUCAGAUGGAAAAGUGGCAUAUGAAUAAAUAAAUACAAUAAAGUAAUCCCUGCCAACAAA